AUUUAAAAAAAGGAGCUGCUGAAGCGACCUCUGCAACAAUCCCGAACUGCUUACUCAUCCGUCCAAACGAACCCGCAUCGUAAGUGGAAGCUGCCUACAUGAAGUCUCACCAUAGAGACGGAGCUGGCCGCCACCCUGUAACCCAUAGCAACGCCAUCAGCUGCAGUGGGCGGAGCCGCCGGUGUUGAAGCUUCUGAUUGGCCGAUAACAGGUGUCCUGACAUUCCAUAUAAGGAAGGUGGCGGAAGCAUCGUUCAUUUUUAAAUAUGUCAGGAAUGAACACGCUGGAUAACCUGCAACAUGUUUAAGUGAGACUGACUGUGACCAUUUCAGUGUAACUGACAGGAUGGGACAACAGAGAGCAGUGCAGAUCAUCUCCCACCAGAGUGCACUGCUUCCCUGGAAAUUAAAGGUUGAUUUCUGUGUAUGGUUUCAGAUUUCCAUUCAUGUAACGUUAUCCAGCUCUGGCCACAAGCUGCUACACACCCAGAUAUACGCUCACAGCAUCCACCGUUUUCUCAAAAUAUGUAAACAAACAGAUGAAUAUUAAUUAAUUAGAACAUUAUAUAUUAUUCCAGCAAUUCAGUUUAUAUAGUGGAACUAAUAAUUAGUCACAUUUUCAAACUUUUAGUCAAUUUUGAUGAUUAUGGCUUACACCUAAUUAAGACGCAAAAUUCAAGAACAGUUUUCCUUCUACUAAACUUUCCAUUAUUAGGCUAGCAUAAAAUACUGUAUAAGGAGACAUAGUCCUUAUGAAUUAACAUUUUGCAGAUUUCAUUAGAAAUGUGUGAAAAACUGUCAUCAUUUCGCUAAUGUAGAAAAA